rnacentral:rRNA from 1 species
GACGAACGCUGGCGGCGUGCCUAAUACAUGCAAGUAGAACGAGUUGCGAACGGGUGAGUAACGCGUGGUAACCUGCCUCAUAGCGGGGGAUAACUAUUGGAAACGGUAGCUAAUACCGCAUACCAUCAGAUGUGCCCAGAUGGGAUUAGCUAGUUGGUGGGGUAACGGCUCACCAAGGCGACUAUCCCUAGAUGGUCUGGGAUGAUGAACAGCCACACUGGAACUGAGAAACGGUACAGACGCCUACGGGAGGAAGCAGUGGGGAAUAUUGCACAAUGGGCGCAAUCCUGAUGCAGCCAUGCCGCGUGUAUGAAGAAGGCCUUCGGGUUGUAAAGUACUUUCAGCGGGGAGGCGUUACCCGCAGAAGAAGCACCGGCUAACUCCGUGCCAGCAGCCGCGGUAAUUC